rnacentral:rRNA from 1 species
UAGGGAAUCUUGCGCAAUGGGCGAAAGCCUGACGCAGCGACGCCGCGUGGGGGAUGACGGCCUUCGGGUUGUAAACCCCUUUCAUGUGGGAAUAACACUGAACUAACCACAGGAAGAAGCACCGGCUAACUCAGUGCCAGCAGCUGCGGUAAUACUGAGGGUGCAAACGUUGUUCGGAUUCACUGGGCGUAAAGCGCACGUAGGCGGCUCGGCAAAUCGGUUGUGAAAUCCUCCUGCCUAACAGGAGAAUUGCUACCGAAAAUACCGGGCUAGAGGUUGUUAGGGGCAAGUGGAACUCUUGGUGGAGCGGUGGAAUGCGUAGAUAUCAAGAGGAACGCCGGAGGCGAAAGCGACUUGCUGGGGCAAUUCUGACGCUGAGGUGCGAAAGCUAGGGGAGCAAACAGG